rnacentral:lncRNA from 1 species
CAAACCCUUCCAUGGCGACUCCUUCACCUCCACCACGCCUUCGUCAGCCUUAGCAUCUCGCCACCGUUUCCGCUAUUCUCACCUCUUCUUUCAAUUUCAACCUCUCUAUCAUUUUAUUUAUUUUCUGAAUCUCUUUUUCGUUAAUUUUUGCAGAAACGUGAAAAAGGGUUUGUAAAUAUUCAGUCAUCAUUUUAUCACUUUGACCCUUUCUUCAAUCUAUUCCUCAUAUUUGUUUAGUUUUCAAAUAUACAGUCACUAUUCAGUCAUUUUAACACUAUCAUUAAUUUUCCAAUUUAAUUGUGCAAUUUUGAUUUUAGGAUUUUUAUGCUUAUUAAUGUUGUUGUUUUUGUAGCAAUUGAAGGAUGGAUUAUUUUGGUGACUGGUGUACACGAGGAAGCAAGAUGAUUAUGAUGGUAUAGUGUUGUUGUUCUUGUAGCAAUCGAAAGUGUUUUAGAAGUGGUGUUGUAGAAAUUGAAAGAAGAGGUUGUUGUUUUUGAAUUUUUUCUGUGUUUUGUAUAAUGUUGUUGAAUGUAUGAUGAUGAACUAGAGUGAGGAAGAAGAUGAAAAUGAAAAAAAAUUAAUUUUGGCUUUUUAUAGUAGCCACUU